ACUGGAGGGCCUUUAUCAUGUGGCCCCGAGACUUCGACACAUGGCCGAUGAUAAUGGCAAUCGUGAUGAUGAUAAUGGGGCAAGGCAUGACCAUGGGAAACAAAUCUUCGGAAGAGAAUCUACACCAAACCUUUUAUUUUUGCCAUAUCGUUGCCACCAACACUAUCACAAACCCCCAACUGCUCGGUAAACGCCACCGUUAUUUCACGUUUUGCUUAAUAUAUAGUAUUUUUCUUAUGAUAUCUUUU
rnacentral:lncRNA from 1 species